CACUCCUUUGUUCCACCCCUCGACCCCGGCUGCAUCUGGCGACGCCGCCACCUCGCCGCCAGCCCGCGUCAUCCGCCGCCCCUUGCCGGCACGCGCUCUCCCCGUCCGCCUCCGGCCUCCAUCAUCUCCGCACCGGCGACCUCCCCUUGCCUCCUCCUUCUUCCCUUCUCUUCCACCUAGAUUGAGAAGGGAAGCCAUGGCGCUCCCGCAGCGGCUAGAUCCAGACCAGCACGACCCUUCCUGUCAAUCCCAUCUCCACUCCAGCGCGCCGCCACCUCUGUCCCCACCCCGCCGGCGCGCCGCCAGCCCGCCUCCCGUCACCGCACGCCGCUGCCCCUCCCUCGCCGCGCGCUGCCGGAGUGCCUACCCCUGCCCCAAGUUACCCCAGCAACAGCCGCCACCGCCAGCAGCAGCAGCAGCAGCCGGAGAUCCCAUCUUGGGGCCGGCGCUGGUCGAGGAAGGCCCGAGUGGCGCCGCCGGCCGAGAAGCCCGCGCCAGAUGACGAUAGGAGCGAGGGCGUCGCCAGCCCGGACACCCCCGAGGACGACGAGCACGACGAGGCAGUAGCGACGGAGGACGAGGCCAAAGCCAGCGCGCAGGACAAGGUGAGCCACCGGGCCAUGAGAUCUGCGCCCGCCCGCCUCCUUCCGCCAAUUCGGCCCGCUUCGAUUUUGAUUUCUUUCUGCUCGUUGACAUGUUCAUCCUCCCCCUCUGCCUCAGUGGGCGCAGGAGCAGCGCGGCGUGGUUGCGAGCUUGUCCCACGAGAACGCCCAUCUCCUAAAGGUUCGUGAUGACCUCCGCCUUUUCCUUCUUGAAUAGCAUCAACCCAACAUCCUUAUUCCCCUGCCUGCAAGAAUGAUCCAGUACCGUUUGAAACCUGCUCUGUUCGCCCAUUUGUAAUUAGCGAUAAUUAGUAAUCUUUGGGUGGGUCACCUCAUACAUUUCUUUCACUUUGCCUUGCAAGGACAGGUUCAAAGAUUCAGCAAUGUUUUCUGCCAUACAAUUAUUCUUGUUCAGUAUCACAUACAACCUGUUCAUUGUCCAAACUUCUUGGACAUGGUUCGAAUCGUGCAUUGCAGGCAAUCUUCUUGACAAAGCUGAGGAUAGUGAAUGGCGGGGAUGAUGGUGCUGGAGAGCCGCCCCCUAUUGGCGUGAAAGCGCACGCUGGACUGUGGGACCUUAGCCAUGCCGAGUUCAACAAUAGAGUUCGGGUGGGUAAAAAUUCCCUUGUACUAAUAAGUAUUCAUAGCAAGAUUAAUUGAGAAGGGCGGAUUGAUCAGCGAAGCCUAUGAAGGCAGCACUUCUUUGGCCUCCCCCAGUUUUAGCCCACUAUGUCACCAAUGGAGGAAACUUGGUGCAGGUUGGCUUUAAAUUAAUCUUCAAUUAAGACAAGGUCCUCUAGAACCGAGCCAAAUCGAUCUGGGAUGUGAUAACAAAGUGCUGAAGAAAUGAAGGAGGCUGGGCGGGGAUAUGUCAUGCUUUGUUUUGUUCUGCUAUAAAUCUCAUGCAUGCUCUCUCUUUAUAUUUAUCCAUUCUUUCCCUGAAGAUGAAGGUCAUUCCACCAAAAUUGAUCCCGUCUAUGAUGAUAUCACUUCCCUUUCAAGCCAAAGUUAACAUCUGCCUUCACUAACUCCAUUUGUAUUUGUGUAUGUUGGUGACAAUGGAACCUAGAUUCGUUGGUUUAAUGUUUUCAUUCUACACUCAUAUUUGUAUGAAGGUCUGCUGAAUCUGAUUAAACGAUUGUUUGGAUAUUUGAGUAGUAGUGUCAACAAUAAUAACUUCAAAUAUGCUUUUAUUUUCUCAAAUCCAAGAUAUCGUUGAUAUAGUUUGGAAGUUAAGAUCAACUGGGUAGAUAAGGGUAGCUAGGUUUCAGAGAUUAAAAGUUUUCUAUUUCUUCUGCUGUGUUAUUUUACUUGAAAAAAUGUAUUACAUUGCUAAGUAACUUUAUAGGCUGUGAGACAUAUAUGAACAGGUGCGUUCAUGUGUCACAAGAAACCAAGCUAUCCCAUGAGAUCCUACGACAGAUCUCCUGCCUUGCUGAAGAAGCUAGAAAAAGUUUAUCAUAGUUUUUCCACUGAGACAAUAAAUCUUUAUGAUAAUCGUAAGUUCCUAACUACCCGCUCAUACAGGUAAUUCAUAGAGAGGAGGAGGAUGGAGAAGGCUGCUAGAGCCUGAUAUGUUCGUUGUGACUUGGGCCUGACCAUUUGGAGAGGUAUAUGUUGAACUGGUGAGGUACAGAUUUCCAUCUGUCAUCUUUUCGUCAGCAUUUUAUUUAUCUUGUGGUUUCUGCAGUCACACAAAAAUUUGGGUACAAUUGAAAUAUAGGAUUAUAUGUAUAAUACUAUUGAAAUUAGAAGAGAUGCAUAUGAAUGUAUUAGAAGCUAGAGUAGGUGCAACAACCAAAACAAACAAGGCGAGGACGCUAGGAACUACACCCAGCUCUCACAGCCACAUAGCUAGCACAAGACCUUAAAGCAAAGUGCCACCAUGAUUCAUACAUGUUCCAGGAGAAACUAGAAUAUGAGCUACAAAUGUAGUGCAUCAGCAACAUUGUCUGUUACUCUGCUUCAUGUACAGUGCCAUUGCACAUUCAGUUAGGUACAUCCAGGACCUUGCAACAUUCAGUCAAGCUAACAGUCGAGCUUUCAGGCUCGCGUAAUCGGGCCGGCCCAUAACCAGGAAACGAGCACGUAAAAAUGGCACGAAAAACAAAACCGCACGCGAUGGGUUCGAUCUCGCGAACUCAAGCUAGGUAGCAGCGACGCCAACCACAUGAGCUAGCUGCCGACUACUCAAAUUGCAGCGCCCCAGUUAAAGUAGUUUAGCGACAGGUCUGUUUAUUUUUCUUAAAUAUUUUCAACAAUUCUUGGAAACAAGUGUGGAUGAUUUUCCUUCAAAUAUUUGAAUACAUUUUUAAAAUCAUGAAUAAAUAUCAAAAAUUCAAACAAAAUUUUGCAACCUUAACAAAAUUUGAAAUUCCAAAUGUUUAUUUUAAGAUUGCCAUGGGCGGUCCUCACUUGUAGCUCGAUGAGAUUAGUUUUUUCUAUGUUUUAUAUGAACAUUCCCUUGCAUGCGUGUGGUUCGGGCAGUAUCGUGGAUGAGCUCGUCUCGACCAUGUCAGGAUACAUGGAUGAUCAGGUGGUGUGGAUGAUCAGGUGGUGAACGGCCGACUUGGGUUCGGGUGUCAUGUCAAAAUAGAAGGCACAUCCAUGUGCAUGUAUGUGUGUGAGAGAGAAGAGGGGUCUUUAGACAUCACAGAAGCCGGACAUGCGAUAUUUUUCUUUUCCCGUUGCAACGCACGGGCAUUUUUGCUAGUA
rnacentral:lncRNA from 1 species